UUGCACUAGAUAGGAGCCACUCUCAGGUAACUGUAAUUGCGAAAAUAUGUAAAAGCCAAAGAAACAGUGGAAUUGACUAAAAAUUUACAAACAAUUUGGAAGUAAGCCUUUCUUGGCAAAGAAUUUGAGAAAUCAAAUGCGAAAAAGACAGUUUGGUUGCGUUGCGUUUGACUAGAGACUGCGGAGACACGAGAGUUUCACAUGGUAUCGUGAAGAUGAUUGGACCAAAAUUGCACAAUGCUUUCCUUACGUAAGUAGUUUUCUAUAUCAUUUGUGAAACAACGCACAGUUGUCAUUCUAUCUCAUCACCUCGGGGGGAGUUUUACAGGUCGACUUUCAACUCGUAAUAUGCGUUGGAGCAAUCCUAUUCCGCUCAGUGAUUACGAUGACGCUCCACGCGAGCAAGGAGUCUACGAAAUAGGCUUUGGAAAUGCCUCCUUUGAUGCAAAGUACCUUGGAAGAGCAAUGGGUGGUUCGUCUACAAUAAGAAGUAGACUGAGUGCACAUUACAAUUUGAAGGGAAACAAGCACAUCAAUCAAGGCAAUAGAAAGGGCCUGACAGUUCGAUGGAUUAGAGUGUCUCAUCCGGAUUGCACAGAAGCCAGAUUGCUGAAAAAGAGAGACUAUCCGUGGAAUGAAAGGAUGGAGCAUGACUGCGACUCAGACUAGAAAAUUGAGCACCGCUUCAUAGACUUGGAGUUCUUAUGGUAACUCAAUUGUGGACGUACUACUUUUAGCUUUGUGACACAAUGCAUGGUUUUGCUGGCAUCACUGUUUCUUAGGCGUUGAGUUUGCUGCAAUCAUAUUAUUCGGUUUGACUGCGAAGUUAAAUAAUAGAAUUGCAAGUGCUAAUUA